ensembl:lncRNA
GCCUUCUUCAAGGAGAGGAAGAAAGGCCCUGAGUGGCUGCUGUAGUUUCCUGUGUGUCAGACUUCCAGUAAUGAUUAGUGUCACUUUUACCUCCCCAUGCCGUCACAGUGUGUGUCAACACGCUUUCUUCUGACACUUAACGGCAUCAAGACCAAACCAAGGAGUAUAAUCAGCGAAACACAAGAGGUUUGCAAUGGUGCAAUGUCUGGUGUUCACACUGCUCUGGGUCUGUGCUGUGGCACUGCUUUCCCUUGGGAGUACAGAGAGAGUAUCUCAAACGACUGAGCCAAGUGUCUCUAGGAGCACAGACCCGACGGCUGAGACAGUUACUUUAGGACCAGUUGAGACCCAAAGCCCUGGUACACACACAGACCAGAGCAUAGAAGAAGAACAAGAACCACUUCCCUCAGACCCCUGUCAGGAUGACGAGUUGGAUAAGAGGGUGUACCAGAGGGAUUCUCAUGGUGUUAUGCAGCUGGUUCAGGGAGAGGACUACAAAAACACUUGCAACCUAUCAGACACUCCAGGUGAACAGGCCCACUGUCUUAUCUACCCUACCAAUCAACUCAACUGCUCCUGGAAUUUCCAUGGUCUCCCUAACGACAGCCAAUCCUACGCCUCCGUCUUUGUGUGUAAGAAAACUGAGAGAAUCUCCAGUGUGGACUGUGUCACUGAGGCCACAGGAGGCCAAGGAGCCCAGGGAGGGACUGGAAAGGCUGACCGUGUGGUUGGAAAUGUGUCUGCUGGGUGCCAAGGCAGUGUGGACAACAGCGCCACCUCGGUGAUCCUGACUUUCAACGUGUCAUGCUCUGACGUGUGGGGCAUCUACACCCAUAAAUACCAGACCAAAGAUAUUGAUGUGCUGCGCCCGCCCCCCGACAUCAACCUAGCCUGGGUCAGAGAGGGGGUUCUGCUGGUGCAGUGGGGUCUCCCAUCCAGCCGGUCACGCAACAAAUCCAGCUGCUUCCACUACCAGCUACAGAUCAAUGACCAGGUGAGGAACUUUACGGGUUUACUGACAUACAAUGAGACCAACGCAGACCCUACACAUUCACACAAUGUGAAGAUGAGGGUGAGGAAGAGUAAAACCUGCAGAGGAUCUCAACACUGGAGCAGCUGGAGCAACACCACCAAGGUGGCCCCGUUUAAAUUUCCCAAUCAGCUGAACUCUCUGGUGGUCGUUGGCAUCGCUCUGGGAAUACCCAUGAUCCUCCUGUCUCUGCUGCUGCUGAUUCGACUCCAGAGGGAACGUCUGUUUCCCCACAUCCCUGGUCCCCCACUGAAGAUUAAACACCUCUUGGAGAGAGACGACCAGUUUCAGUUUGUCCCUCAGGCCCUGCAGCCCAAAUUUGUUGAGGAGAUCACAGUGGUGGAGGAAGCUAAGGAAACACCUGUGAAUUUGGCCAGUUAAACAAGAUGGCCUGUUUAAAGCCCAAUCAUCCUAAUCCCCUAGACUGUGUAAGGGCCGAUCUGUAAGGAGGAUCCCCUUAGCAGAUGCAGUCAUUACCAUUUGUUAAUACCUAUCCAAUCCUUUCAAGAGUGGAUGCUACUUAUUGACAUGCAUUGUUCUUACAUGCUUAUUAGUGUCUACUCAAUUAAUUGUUGUAAUGUGCUCAGCUUCUACCAGUGUUGUAGUUCUCAAGACCGAGACCAGUCCAGUCUUGAGACCACAUAUGGGUCUUGUCUUGGUGUCAGCUACAUUCGUACUUGGUCGUGACUCAGUCUCAGACAGUGAGGACUCGUAAUUUCUUCCCUAGACCAGUGGAGUAAAAACACUCAAACAUAUACACUCCCAUCUUGAAACAUUAUCUUAACAACCGUUAUCUAUUAUAGACAUGGUUACGCAGUGGUGAACCUAUAGGUCUUCAGUAUGUGACAGGUUAGUACAGUGGUGAACCUAUAGGCCUUCAGUAUGUGACAGGUUAGUACAGUGGUGAACCUAUAGGCCUUCAGUGUGUGACAGGUUAGUACAGUGGUGAACCUAUAGGCCUUCAGUGUGUGACAGGUUGGUGAUUCUGAAAGGACAGCAACCGUAAUACCAGACACUCAUGUAGGAGAGUGCACUUUUUGUAAAACACAAAGGGACAGUGGUGUAGUGGAGGUAUUUUUUCAGUGGGAAUUGCCUAUACUCACUUAAUCCUAUUGAUGCGUAUCAAAGUAGUGUAGUGGAGUAUACGCAGGUAUUUUUUCAGUGGGCAUUGCCUAUACUCACUUAAUCCUAUUGAUGCGUAUCAAAGUAGUGUAGUGGAGGCAGUGGCGACCCAUCAUUAAGGGCAGUUCUUCAGUCCCACCUGUUUAGCAGGGGGUGUGCCUGUUUUGCAUGUUAUUUUGUCAUUAAUAUGUGUCACAUAUCAGUUUGAAAAAAAUGAAUGAGUUAAUAAAGCUUCAUACAAACAUGGUAUUUAUUUUCUUUCUUGAGUGAGGGAGCUCCAAAAUGCAGAUGUUUCCACUUAGUUCAGUGCUUUCUGUGGUGGGGCAGCCAGCGGAAAAUACUGAGCGUAGGAGUUGGUAAAGUUCUCUUGUUGCGCCUUGAAAGUAUGACUCAGUGUUCUGUCACUCAUGGGGACACUACGUCACGGCAAAAUUCAAGCCCCUUGGGUGCUGCCAUAGAGUUACAUUAGAAGUGCCCAUCCAAUAAGGCUCAAGGUCAUUGGCCACAGAUAAAAUGAUGUCAAAUCAUGUUAUAUCUACCAUAGCUUUGAUUGGAUGGAUCAUGUCAACAUCAUACUUUCUAAAUCUUAGCUAGUAAGCUAGCAGUCAUGAUCAUGAAUCUAGUUAGCAAUCUACAGGCAAAUCCUUUUCAAUCCUUGUAAUGGGAAGAGAAAUGAUAGAUAAAACGUAUAUAGUGCUCAUCGGUCAAAGUGCUCAUCAGUCAUUGGACAUAAACAUUACACAAGAAGUUGUAAAUUGUAAAUUCAACGAUGAGUGGUUUGAAAGGAAUCAGUGGCUAACUGCAAGCAUUGCAAAGCAAUCACUACCCUGCUAUUCAGUGGAGUGGGUUUAAGGGUCGCUUUUCCAAGCUUAUUUGGUAUUUGGUAUUUUAUUAGGAUCCCCAUUAGCUGUUGCAAAAGCAGCAGCUACUCUUCCUGGGGUCCACACUAAACAUGAAACAUAAAACAGAAUGAUAUACAGUAAGACAGAACAGCAUUAGACAAGAACAGCUCAAGAACAGAACUACAUUUUUAAAAAGACACACGUACCCUACAUAUCAUUGCAUACACACACUAUCUAGGUCAAAUAGGGGAGAGGCGUUGUGCCGCGAAGUGUCGCUCUAUCUGUUUUUGGAAACCAAGUUUGCUGUUUGAGCCAUAUUAAAUGGAAGGAAGUUCCAUGCAAAAAGGGCUCUAUAUAAUGCUGUAAGUUUUCUUGAAUUUCUUCUGGAUUUGGGGACUAUGAAAAGACCCCUGUUGGCAUGUCUGGUGGGAUAAGUGUGUGUGUCGGAGGUAUAAGUUGACUAUGCAAACAAUUUCGGAUUUCAACACAUGAAUGUUUCUUAUAAAAAGAAGAAGUGAUGCAGUCAGUCUCUCCCCAACUCUUAGCCAAGAGGGACUGGCAUGCAUAGCAUUUAUAUCAGCCCUCUGAUUACAAUUAAGAGCAAAACGUGCCGCUCUGUUCUGGGCCAGCUGCAUUAUAACUAGGUCUUUCCUUGCAGCACUGGACCACACAACUGGACAAUAAUCAAGGUUAGACAAAACUAGAGCCUGCAGAACUUGCUUUUUGGAGUGUGCUGUCAAAAAAGCAGAGCAUCUCUUUAUUACGGCUAGACCUCUCCCCAUCUUUGCAAUUAGGUGCUGGCUUAAGGCUUAAAAGGAUAAACAUUCAACAUUGGCCAUCCUGUCAAUCAAGCAUGACUUCUGCCACUUUCAAAUCAACUGGAAUCUCAGAAUUUGGAAAUCUCAGACUUCAGUGACUUCAAGACAACUGGGAACACGGAAAAAAUACAAUUUGAACGGUCACCCAACUUGUAAUUUCAAGUCAGGCACUCUGGCCUCUUUCUAGAGCUCCGACCUGAAGAUCACUGACGUCAUGAUUCAACCUUGUUUUUCUCAGAGUUCCUAGCUGUCUUGAAAGCACCAUAAAUCCAGAGAAUGACAGACUUUGAUGAUAAAGUUUGAUGACAAAAUUUGCCCACGAAGGACCGCCGCACCACCGUUGUUCAAGUGAGCAAAGCACAACAAG